rnacentral:rRNA from 1 species
AUACGGGAGGCAGCAGUGGGGAAUUUUGCGCAAUGGGCGAAAGCCUGACGCAGCAACGCCGCGUGGAGGAUGAAGGCCUUCGGGUCGUAAACUCCUGUCAGUAGGGACGAAUGCCCCGCGAGGGGUUUGACUGUACCUGCUGAGGAAGCCACGGCUAACUUCGUGCCAGCAGCCGCGGUAAUACGAGGGUGGCAAGCGUUGUUCGGAAUUACUGGGCGUAAAGGGCGCGUAGGCGGCUUGGCAAGUCAGAUGUGAAAUCCCCGAGCUUAACUUGGGAAUUGCAUCUGAAACUGCUUAGCUUGAGUCCUGGAUGGGGUAGUGGAAUUCCCAGUGUAGCAGUGAAAUGCGUAGAUAUUGGGAGGAACACCGGUGGCGAAGGCGGCUACCUGGACAGUGACUGACGCUGAGGCGCGAAAGCUAGGGGAGCGAACGGGAUUAGAUACCCCGGU